rnacentral:lncRNA from 1 species
CAUUCCAUAUUGUUUUCAUUUCAUUCUUACAUAAAUAAAAUUAAAAAAAGUUAUUAAGAGCAUAGUUUAUAUCAUUUUGCAUACUGGUUGUUUAAUUGUUUGCAUAUCAAGAAAAUUCAAAAACAAAAAAUCAUUGUUACUAUGUUUUUUCCAUAUUUUCUUUCCAUAUUUGUUUAAUAUCAUUCCAUAUUGAUUCAUUUCGUGUUUUCAUUGAGAAAACCAAAAGAAAAAUAAUUUUACAUAAUUGAUUUCAUUCACAUUGGCAUAUUUUCGGUUUGGUUUUAAUAGAUUGCAUUUUGGUUACUUAUUUUGGUUCGACCAGAACUUCCCAUAUCUUCACUUGCUCUUUGAGAUUGUUUUCAGGAAGCAAUGACAGAGGAAGAACAUGG